ACUCCUACGGGAGGCAGCAGUGGGGAAUAUUGCACAAUGGGCGCAAGCCUGAUGCAGCCAUGCCGCGUGUAUGAAGAAGGCCUUCGGGUUGUAAAGUACUUUCAGCAGUGAGGAAGGUGGGUAUGUUAAUAGCAUACUCAUUUGACGUUAGCUGCAGAAGAAGCACCGGCUAACUCCGUGCCAGCAGCCGCGGUAAUACGGAGGGUGCGAGCGUUAAUCGGAAUUACUGGGCGUAAAGCGCAUGCAGGUGGUUUGUUAAGUCAGAUGUGAAAGCCCGGGGGCUCAACCUCGGAAUUGCAUUUGAAACUGGCAAACUAGAGUACUGUAGAGGGGGGUAGAAUUUCAGGUGUAGCGGUGAAAUGCGUAGAGAUCUGAAGGAUACCGGUGGCGAAGGCGGCCCCCUGGACAGAUACUGACACUCAGAUGCGAAAGCGUGGGGAGCAAACAGGAUUAGAUACCCCUGGUAGGCGUAA
rnacentral:rRNA from 1 species